AGAGAUUCCAGCUGCCUCUACCUCUGUCAAGAGUACAUCACCCUUGUAUUGAACAGAAGGAGUGGCCUGUCCCAUGACUACACUAAUCAGUAGGUCCAGAAAGACCCCUGGAUGAUGGCUUUCUUUGAUUCUUUGGUGAAAUCUAAGGCUGCAGCUCAGAAUCAGACAGUGACCUCAUCGAGAGUACUAUCUUUUAGCUGCAUGCAGGGUCAGUGAGCACUCUGGCUACACGGACUCAGAAUCUUCAGCCUCAAUGCCCUGCUUCCCACCUUCUACAGUAGAGGAGUCUGCCAACAAUGCCUUCCAACUGGGGCCCCUGCAUAUCACUACCACAAAUGCAGUGGUACCAAUCCCAGCAAUGCCAAUAUGUGAGGAUGCAGCCUCUGGACAGCAGUGCCCGUCUUGCUGAGGUGUUAUCAGGACAAAAGCCUCCUGGCCCUGUCCAGUGAGUCUUGAUUCUGAAGAGAAUGUUUGUGAGGCUGAACUGGACACAGAUUUUUUUUUUCCCUCGGCCAUGGUCGCCCAGCCCUGAGCAUGGAUCUAGCAUUUCCUGUAGCUCCACCAGCUCUGAGGACAAAGAGGACCUGAACCAAUGCUGAGCUACCACCAGGCAGAGAAACACUAUGUGUAGGCAACAAAAGAAACCCCUGGGAAGAGCGGCCCACUGGUCCAGCCAAGUCCACCAACACCUACAUUGGAGAGGACAAUUACGACUACCCACCAAUCAAGGUGGAUGAUCUCUCCUCCUCCCCAGACCCCUCCCCUUAGCAGAGCUCUUCCACUCUGGAUAUUGAGCCAAGCCGGGCACCACCAGCUGCCAACAUGGGAUUAGUUGAGCAUAAGAUUUAUAAAGCUUACAAAUGGCUCUGCUACUACUAUAUCUUACUUGAAUAACAAAGAUGGAGAAACCUCCUUAGUGGCAGAGGAGACAGAUGAAGGAAGAGCAUGAAAAAGCCACAAAGACAACUGAAACCCUUCUUCCAGUAAGGAAGCCAGUCUAAUAGCCACAAACCAGAGGGAUCAAGACCUGCCUCCUAAAGGCUGUAGCAAUGAUGCUUGUAAAGAAUUGGAAACAAAACACCCAUGGAAGGAGUUACAGAGACAAAGUUUGGAGCUGAGAUGAAAGGUUGGACCAUGUAGAGACUGCCAUAUCCAGGAAUCCACCCCAUAAUCAGCUUCCAAACGCUGACACCAUUGCAUACACUAGCAAGAUUUUGUCAAAAGGACCCAGAUGUAGCUGUCUCUUGUGAGACUAUGCCGGGGCCUAGCAAACACAGAAGUGGAUGCUCACAGUCAGCUAUUGGAUGGAUCACAGGGCCCCCAAUGGAGGAGCUAGAGAAAGUACCCAAGGAGCUAAAGGGAUCUGCAACCCUAUAGGUGGAACAACAUUAUGAACUAAGCAGUACCCCAGAGCUCUUGACUCUAGCUGCAUAUGUAUCAAAAGAUGGCCUAGUCGGCCAUCACUGGAAAGAGAGGCCCAUUGGACACACAAACUGUAUAUGCCCCAGUACAGGGGAACGCCAGGGCCAAAAAAAAAAAAAAUGGGAAUGGGUGGGUAGGGAAGUGGGGGGGAGGGUAUGGGGGACUUUUGGGAUAGCAUUGGAAAUGUAAUUGAGGAAAAUAUUAAUAAAAAUAUUAAAAAAAAUAAAAAGAAGAAGAAGAAGAGACUUCCAGAGACUUGGCCUCCAGGGAGGGCUCUGACUUGGGACUCAAGCAAGAUCACCAUCUUGUAUCCCCAGUCUCUCAGAGACCAGUUCACACAGGAGUGUGGGCCACAGAAACAACAGCUUCUUGGACAGGGUUCCUUUGGGCCUUCAUCUUCAGCCAGGAGGUAGAUCUGAGCUCCAGACCUCUGUGUUCUGUGUACCUUCCCUGCAAGAGGAGAGCUUGCCUGCAGAGCAUGCUCUGACCACUGGGACUCAGGAGAGAGUUGGACUCCCAGGACUGCCAACAGAGGCUAACAGAAUCACAGGAGGAACAGAAUCACAGGAGGAACAAGUUCCAGACAGAGACAGCUAGAACAUUUAACACCAGAGAUUACUAGAUGCCGAAAGGCAAACAUAAAAGAGUCUUAACAGAUACCAAGACCACUGGGCAUCAUGAGAACCCAGUACUCCCACCACAGCGAGUCCUGGAUACCCCCAACACACCCAAAAAGCAAGAUUCAGAUUUAAAAUCAUAUCUCAUGAUGCUGGUAGAGAAUUUCAAGAAGGGCAUUAAUUGUGGGAAGUGACAUGUGCUGUUGCAGGGUGGUGCUGGCUACUGCUGGCCACCACGCAUACAUAGGCAGUAAAGUUUUUUUGCCAAGAUGAGGUUUUGAGAAUUAACCAAUCAGAUGAGAGACAAGUUAACCAAUCAGAUGAGAGACAAGUUAACCAAUCAGAUGAGAGACAAGUUAACCAAUCAGAUGAGAGACAAGUUAACCAAUCAGAUGAGAGACAAGUUAACCAAUCAGAUGAAAGACAAGUUAACCAAUCAGAUGAGAGACUUGCAAAUGAGGUGGUAAGCAUAACCCAUGCAUAACCAAUCCGGGUGUGAGACACGCCUCCCCUAGGCCUAUAUAAGCAGCACCAGUUCUGGGCUUGGGGUCUCUUCGCCUCUGCAAUCAAGCUCUCCCAAAAAACAUGUGCAGAAGAAUCCUGUUGCAGCGUCAUUCUUGCUGGCUAGUCGGGGGCGCGCAAGAAUUAAUAACUCAAAGAAAUAUAGGAGAACACUGCUAAACAGGUAGAUGUCUGUAGUGUCUAGUUUUGUGUCAACUUGACACAGCUGGAGUUAUCACAGAAAAAAGGAGUUUCAAUUGAGGAAAUGCCUUCAUGAGAUCCAACUGUAAGGCAUUUUCUCAAUUAGUGAUUCAAGGAGGAAAGGCCCCUUGUGAGUAGGACCAUCUCUGGGCUGGUAGUCUUGGUUCUAUAAGAGAGCAGGCUGAGCAAGCCAGAGGAAGCAAGCCAGUAAAGAACAUCCCUCCAUAGCUUCUGCUUCAGUUCCUGCUUUCUGACCUGAGUUCCAGUCCUGACUUCUUUGGUGAUGAACAGCAGUAAGCAAGUGUAAGCUGAAUAAAACCAUUCCUCCCCAACUUGCUGCUUGGUCAUGAUGUUUUGUCCAGGAAUAGAAACCCUGACUAAGACAAAGUCCUUAAAGAGGAAACACAAAAAUCCCUUAAAGAAUUGCAGGAAAACAUGACCAAACAGGUGAUGGAAUUGAAUAAAACCAUCCAAGACCUAAAAAGGGAAGUAGACACAAUAAAGAAAACGCAAAGGGAGGCAAUGCUGGAGAUAGAAACCCUAGAAAAGAAAUCUGGAACCAUAGAUGCGAGCAUCAGCAACAGAAUACAAAAGAUGGAAGACAGAAUCUCAGGUGCAGAAGAUUCCAUAGAGAACAUCUGCACAACAAUCAAAGAAAAUGCAAAAAGAGCCUAACUCAAAACAUCCAGGAAAUACAGGACAUAAUGAGAAGACCAAACCUACGGAUAAUAGGAGUAGAUGAGAAUGAAGAUUUUCAACUCAAAGGGCCAGCAAAUAUCUUCAACAAAAUUAUAGAAGAAAACUUCCCAAAGCUAAAGAAAGAGAUGCCCAUGAACAUACAAGAAGCCUACAGAACUCCAAAUAGUCAGGACCAGAAAAGAAAUUCCUCUGACACAUAGUAAUCAGAACAACAAAUGCACUAAAUAAAUAUAGAAUAUUAAAAGGAAAAAAGGUCAAGUAACAUAAAGGCAGGCCUAUCAGAGUUACACCAGACUUUUCACCAGAGACUAUGAAAGCCAGAAGAGCCUGGACAGAUGUUAUACAGACACUAAGAGAACACAAAUUCCAGCUCAGGCUACUAUACCCAGCCAAACUCUCAAUUACCAUAGAUGGAGAAACCAAAGUAUUCCAUGACAUAAACCAAAUUCACACAUUAUCUUUCCAAGAAUUCAGCCCUUCAAAGGAUAAUAAAGGGAAAACUCGAACAAUUUUCGAAGCAAACAGUCCCUAGGAACAAGCUGGAGUAGACAUUAUAAUAUUGAAUAAAAUGAACCUCUAACCCAAAGUUAUCAAAAAAGAUGAGUGCCACUUCAUCCUCAAAGGUAAAAAUCUUCCAAGAUGAACUCUCAAUUCUAAGUAUUUAUGCAAGGGUAUACUGGCUAGUUUAUGUCAACCUGACACAAGCUGGAGUUAUCACAGAAAAAGGAGCUUCAGUUGGGGAAGUGCCUCCAUGAGAUCCAGCUGUGGGGUAUUUUCUCAAAUAGUGAUCAAGGGGGAAGGGCCCCUUGUGGGUGGGACCAUCUCUGGGCUGGCAGUCUUGGGUUCUAUAAGAGAGCAAGCUGAGCAAGCCAGAGGAAACAAGCCAGUAAAGAACAUCCCUCCAUGGCCUCUGCAUCAGCUCCUGCUUUUUGACAUGUUGGAGUUCCAGUCCUGACUUCCUUGGUGAUGAACAGCUGUAUGGAAGUGUAAGCUGAAUAAAACCUUUUCUCCCCAACUUGCUUCUUGGUCAUGAUGUUUGUGCAGGAAUAGAAACCCUGACUAAAACAAAGGACAUCCACAUUCAUUAAAGAAACUUAAGUAAAGCUCAAAGCACACAUUGCACUGCACACAAUAAUAGGCGACUCCAACAACCCACUCUCAUCAUUGGAAAGAUCCUGGAAACAAACUAAACAGAGACACAUUGGAACUUACAGAAGUUAUGAAAGAAAUGGAUUUAACAAAUAUCUACAAGACAUUUUAUUCUAAAAUGAAAGGAUAUACCUUCUCAGAACCUCAUGGUACCUUCUCCAAAAUUGACCAUAUAAAUGGUCACAAACCUUAGACCUCAACACAUACAAAAAUAUUGAAAUUAUCCCAUGCAUCUUAUCAGAUCACCUCAGACUAAGGCAGAUCUUCAAUAACAGCAUAAAUAGAAAGCCAACAUUCACAUGGAAACUGAACAACACUCUACUCAAUGAUAACUUGGUCAAAGAAGAAAUAAAGAAAUUAAAGACUUUUUAGAGUUUAUUGAAAAUGAAGACACAACAUAUCCAAACUUAUGAGACACAAGGAAAGCAGUCCUAAGAGGAAAACUCAUAGCUCUGAAUACCUCCAAGAAGAAACUAGAGAGAGCAUACACUAGCAGUUUGACAGAACAUCUAAAAGCUCUAGAACAAAAGGAAUCAUAUUCACCCAAGAGGAGUAGAUUGCAGGAAAUAAACUCAGGGCUGAUAUCAACCAAGUGGAAACAAAGAACUACACAAAGAAUCAAACCUGUAACUGGUUCUUUGAGAAAAAAACAAGAUAGAUAAACCCUUAGACUCACUAGAGGGCACAGGGAAUGUAUCCUAAUUUAAAAAAAUCAGAAAGACAUAAUGUCAGAACUUGAGGAAAUCCAAAACACCAUCAGAUCCUACUACAAAAUCCUAUGUUCAACCAAACUGGAAAACAAAGAUGAAAUGGACAAUUUUCUAGAUAUAUACCAGGUACCAAAGUUGAAUCAGGAUCAGAUUAAUGAUCUAAACAGUCCCAUAUCCCCUAAAGAAUUAGAAGCAGUCAUUAAUAGUCUCCCAACCAAAAACAGCCCAGGACCAGAUGGGUUUAGUGGAGAUUUCUAUCAGACCUUCAAAGAAUACCCAAUUCCAAUACUCCUCAAACUAUUCCACAAAAUAGAAACAGAAGGUACUCUACCUAAUUCAUUCUACGAAGCCACAAUUACUCUGAUACCUAAACCACAUAAAGACCCAACAAAGAUAGAGAACUUCAGACCAAUUUCCCUUAUGAAUAUUGAUACAAAAAUACUCAAUAAAAUACUCACAAACCAAAUUCAAGAACACAUCAAAAUGAUCAUCCACCAUGACCAAGUAGGCUUCAUCCCAGGGAUGCAGGGAUAGUUUAAUAUAUGGAAAUCCAUCAAAAUGAUCCACUAUAUAAACAAACUUAAAAGACAAAAACCACAUGAUCAUCUGGUUAGGUGCUGAGAAAGCAUUUGACAAAAUCCAACACCAAAUCAUGCUAGAAGUCUUAGAAACAUCAGGAAUUCAAGGCCCAUACCCAAACAUAAUAAAAGCAAUAUACAGCAAACCAGUAGCCAACAUCAAACAAAAUGGCGAGAAACUUGAAGCAAUCCCAUGAAAAUCAGGGACUAGACAAGGUUCCCCACUGUCUCCCUACCUAUUCAAUAUAGUACUUGAAAUCCUAGCCAGAUCAAUUUGACAACAAAAGGAGAUCAAGGGGAUACAAAUUGGAAAGGAAGAAGUCAAAAUAUCACUAUUUGCAGAUGAUAUGAUAGUAUAUAUAAGUGACCCUAAAAAUUCCACAGAGAAAUCCUAAACCUGAUAAACAGCUUCAGUGCAGUACUGGACAUAAAAUUAACUCAAACAAAUCAGUGGCCUUUCUCUACAAAAAGCAUGAACAGGCUGAGAGAAAGUUAGGGAAACAACACCCUUCACAAUAGUCACGAAACACAUGAAGCUCGGGAAGAACGAAGACCAAGGUGUGGAUACUUUGCCCCUUCUUGGAAUUGGAAGCAAAGCACCCAUGGAAGGAGCUACAGAGACAGAGUUUGGAGCUGAGAUGAAAGGAUGGACAAUCUAGAGACUGGCAUACCUGGGGAUCCAUCCCAUAAUCAGCCUCCAAACACUGACACCAUUGCAUACACUAGCAAGAUUUUGCUGAAAGGACCCUGAUAUAUCAGUCUCUUGUGAGACUAUCCCCGGGCCUACCAAACAUAAAAGUUGAUGCUCAGUCAGAUAUUGGAUGGAUCACAGGGUCCCCAAUGGAGGAGCUGGAGGAAGUACCCAGGGAUCGGGGGGGGGGGGGGGAUCUGCAACCCUAUAGGCGGAACAACAAUAUGAACUAACCAGUACCCCCACCCCAACCCCCAGAGCUCAUGUCUCUAGCUGCAUAUGUAUCAGAAGAUGGCCUGGUCGGCCAUCAGUGGAAAGAGAGGCCCAUUGGUCAUGCAGACCUUAUAUGCCUCAGUACAGGGGAACACCAGGGCCAAGAGGUGGGUGUGAGUGGGUGGGGGAGUGGGUGUGGGAGUGUGUGGGGGACUUUUGGGAUAGCAUUGGAAAUGUAAAUGAAAUAAAUACCUAAUAAAAAUUGUCACAAAUAAUAUAAAAUACCUUGAUAUGACUCUAAGGAAGUGAAAGAUUUGUAUAAGAACUUCAAGUCUCUGAAGAAAGAAAUCUAAGAAGAUCUCAGAAGACGGAAAGAUCUCCCAUGCUCAUGGAUUAGCAGCAUUAAUAUAGUAAAAAUCGUCAUCUUGUCGAAAGCAAUCUGCAGAUUCAGUGCAAUCGCCAUCACAAUUCCAACUCAGUUCUUAACCAAGUUAGACAAGGCAAUUUGCAAAUUCAUCUGGAAUAACAAACCUAGAAUAGCAAAAACUAUACUCAAUAAUAAAAGAACCUCUAGGGAAAUCACCAUGCCAGACCUUGAGCUGUACUAUAGAACAAUUGUGAUAAAAACUGCAUGGUAUUGGUAAAGGACAGACAGGUAGACAAAUGGAAUAGAAUUGAAGACCCAGAAAGGAACCCACACACCUAUGGUCACUUAAUCUUUGACAAAGGAGCUAAAACCAUCCAGUGGAAAAAAGACAGCAUUUUCAACAAAUGGUGCUGGCUCAACUGGUGGUUAUCAUGUAGAAGAAUGCAAAUUUAUCGAUUCUUAUUUCCUUGUACAAAGAAUAUGUCUAAGUGGAUCAAGGACUUCCACCUAAAACCAGAGACCCUGAAACUUAUAUAGGAGAAAGUGUGGAAAAGCGUCGAAGAUAUGGGCACAGGGGGAAAAUUCCUGAACAGAAUAGCAAUGUCUUGUGCUGUAAGAUCGAGAAUCAACAAAAGGGACCUCAUAAAAUUUCAAAACUUCUGUAAGGCAAAAGACACUGUCAAAACGAGAAAAAAACCACUAACAGAUUGGAAAAGGAUCUUUACCAAUCCUAAAUCUGAUAUGGAACUAAUAUCCAAUAUAUAUAAAGAACUCAAGAAGGUGGACUCCAGAAAAUCAGAUAACCCCAUUAAAAAUGAGGUACAGAGCUAAAUAAAGAAUUUUCAACUGAGGAAUACCACAUGGCAGAGAAGCACCUGAAAAAAUGUUCAACAUCCUUAGUCAUCAGGGAAAUGCAAAUCAAAACAACCCUGAGAUUCCACCUCACACCAGUCAGAAUGGCUAAGAUCAAAAAUUCAGGUGACAGCAGAUGCUGGUGAAAGAUCCUGGCAGAAUGUAAAAGGACACAGAAGCCCUGAAAUUGGCAAGAUAGACAUCAGUGUUAGCAGAACUAGCUUCACUGAUUUAGAAAAAUAGAGGUGCACAAUGCUCUGGCCACUCCUUGAACCUGUGUGUGUCUGCCAAUGUUCUGACCAGGUGUGUGCCCAUUGCUGCACCUCAUUAGACUCUUUCCUUGUACCCCUCCCAUACCCAUUUCUUGAGAAUAGACAUUGUUUAGAUCUGGAAAUCCCCUAAUCUCCCCCUUCUCCUUUCCCCCCGAGGGCCUAUAAAAACUGGGAACUCUUUCCCCUCGAGGACGACUCCUCUACCCCUGCGUGGGAUAUGAGUCGUCCCCAGAGCUCUGGCUUUCCCCGAAUAAAGCCUCAUGUGGUUUGCAACAAGCUCGGUCUGUCGUGAGUUCUUGGGUGUCCGAUAUUGUCCUGAGGCCUGAGCAAGGGGCUCCUCUCGGAGUCUUUCAGUGCUAGGUCCAAUUUUCUGAGGAACCGCCAGACUGAUUUCCAGAGUGGUUUUACAAGCUUGCAAUCCCACCAACAAUGAAGGAGUGUUCCUCUUUCUCCACAUCCUUGCCAGUGAAAGACUCCGAGAGGAGCCCCUUGCUCAGGCCUCAGGACAAUAGCGGACACCCAAGAACUCACAACAGACCAAGCUUGUUGCAAACCACAUGAGGCUUUAUUCGGGGAAAGCCAGAGCUCUGGGGACGACUCAUAUCCCACGCAGGGGUAGAGGAGUCGUCCUCGAGGGGAAAGAGUUCCCAGUUUUUAUAGGCCCUCGGGGGGGGAAGGAGAAGGGAGAGAUUAGGGGAUUUCCAGAUCUAAACAAUGUCUAUUUUCAAGAAAUGGGUAUGGGAGGGGUACAAGGAAAGAGUCUAAUGAAGGUGCAGCAAUGGGCACACACCUGGUCAGAACAUUGGCAGACACACAGGUUCAAGGAGUGGCCAGAGCAUUGUGCACCUCUAUUUUUCUAAAUCAGUGAAGCUAGUUCUGCUAACACUGAUGUCUAUCUUGCCAAUUUCAGGGCUUCUGUGUCCUUUUACAUUCUGCCAGGAUCUUUCAGCACUACCGGAGGAUCCAGCAAUACCUCUCCUGGGCAUAGCAGCCUAAUUUAUAAUAGACAGAAACUGGAAAGAACCCAUAUAUCAGAGGAAUGGAUACAGGAAAUGUGGUACAUUUACACAAUGGAGUACUAUGGAGCUAUUAAAAACAAUGAAUUUAUGAAAUUCUUAGGCAAGUAGAUGGAUCUAGAGUAUAUGAUCCUGAGUGAGAUAACUAUAUCACAAAAGAACACAGAUGAUAGCCCAGAGACUUAGAAUACCCAAGAUACAGUUUGCAGAACACAUGAAACUCAAGAAAAAGGAAGACCAAAUUGUUGAUACUUCAUUCCUUCUUAGAAUGGGGAACAAAAUACACAUGGAAGGAAUUAGAGACAAAAUUUGGAGCUGAGAUGGAAGAAAGGAUCAUCCAGUGACUGCCCAACCAUGUGGAUUCAUCCCAUAAAACACCACCAAACCCAGACACUAUUGCAUAUGCCAGCAAGAUUUUGCUGACAGGGCGCUGACCUAGUUAUCUCUUGAGAGGCUAUGCCAGUGCCUGGCAAAUAUAGAAGUAGAUGCUCACAGUCACCUAUUGGAUGGAACACAGUGCCUCAAAUGAAGGAGCUAGAGAAAGUACACAAGGAGCUAAAGGGGUCUGCAUCCCUAUAGGAGAACAACAAUAUGAACUAACCAGUACCCCCAAGAACUUUUGUCUCUAGUUGCAUAUGUAGCAGAGGAUGGCCUAGUUGGCCAUCAAUGGGAGGAAAGGCCGUUGGUCUUGCAAAGACUCUAUGCCCAAGCACAGGGGAAUGCCAGGGUCAUGAAGUGGGAGAGGGUGGGUUGCAGGGGGCAUGGAGGGUAUAGGGGACUUUAGGAGAGCAAAUUAGGAAAGAGGAUAGCAUUUGAAAUGUAAAUAAAGAAAUUUCUAAUUAAAAAAAAAAAAAAAGAAAGAAAAGACUUUCACUCAGUAGCCAUCCAUGGGCAGAGGUGCCAGGGGCACCUCUCAGGACACUAACAGUGUCUACAAUACUCUUUUGAAACCAAGAACCUCAAAGGAAAGGCUCUGAGCAAGGCCCUGAGCAGUCAGGGUGAGGAUCCACUGGCCUCUCCUGGCCCCAGGGCAUUAGGCUCCACUCUCAACAGUGCAUCUGGCUACUGUCCCAGGAUCCAGUCUGAUGACAGUGUGGAGAGGAGCCUUGACACAGUCUGUACCAACCACAACAAUGGACGCUUGUACCCCAGACCCCUUCACCCCCAUAACAAUGGGCAGAGCUCUGGGGAGAUGGAGACAGUGGCUUCCCCUUCCCCAGGACACCUAGACACUGACCCUGAUAGCCCAUCCCUGACAGGGACAUUUCUACACAAAGAUUGUUGUGGGUCGGAAUGGUUUGCGAGACCCCAAGUGCUGGAAUGAGAGAGGACUCCACUGACCCCUCAGCCCUGGAGAGCAGCAAGGUUGUUCGUGGCCAAAGUGGCCUCAAAAGGCACUGAAUUGAAUUUGAAGACACAGAUUCAGAGAUUUCCCCCUCAGAGGAGAAAUUAAAAACAUGCAAAUGAGCUGUAGUGGCGAGCAGAAUGUGGUACUGUAUUCUAGUCCAGUGUCAAUCCAUCAGUCAGAAAAGGGGUCUGGUACCUUCCCUUGGGUGUGGUGUUAUCAGAGGCUGUGGAUUCCACCUAAACUUUGCAGCAUAGUAACAUCUGUUAGGAGACAGGAAAUAUGGAAAGACAAGUCUCUGGUUUUUGUUCUGGCUCCCAGAAGACAUUCUGUUCUGUUGAAGUAGGUAACAAUAGAGAGAAAAUAAUAUAUAUCGAAUUUCCAGUGUGUAGUGAUGAUUGUAGUCCGAGUUGUCGGUGAAGGGUUGUGCAAGACUGGAAGACCUAAGGAUGCUCAGAUGCCUUGGUGUAGAUGUUAAAAGCAAGAGGACCAUAGAACAGUGGAACUCUGGAUGCAGAGGUGCUAGACAGCUGGAGCUUGGCUGGAACUGGCAUAGGCAGGGCUUAGCAGAAGACAGGUGUGGCCUUACCCAGAGUUCCUUUCUGAGGAGGACUUGUCCUGUUGGAAUGGUGCCAAGAGAAGACCACCUGUGGAGGAUGAAGAACUACAGGCUGAAGAUCAGGUGCUGGGAGCCAGGGUUCUUAAAAAGGCAGGCAGUUGUUAAGUGUACCCUUCCCCCAGCCUUAAGCAGGCUAAGUCAGACCUUGUUUGCCAUAGCUGGCUAGCCCACCUAGGGUGGAGUCUUCCCACCUAGGUGAAGUCUAUUGUCCUGCUACAUCUGCAGCUUCCAGCAAGAAGCCUCUACCUGCUGAGCAGCUGAGCUUGUCUUCCUGACAAGAGUCUGGCAAAGUGGGGAUGGGUUUACCCCCUUUAUAUUCAGUCUUAAGAAUUAAACAUUGAGCCUUCAUCAGAGAAACUUUGUCUUGGCUACAGGUAGGAGCCAGGGGGGAUAUGUGUCAUCUUUCUGAGCUUUGCAGAAGGGAGAUAGGUGUGGCUGAAGUAUAGAAGCAUGGUUUGGGAAGGAGAGGAAGGCACCAGAGUAGGGUGGGGGUGCAUACAAUUAGCAGCUAGACUCUUCCUGGGAGUGGGACAGUGACUCUGUAACCAAUGUUAGAAUUACUUUAGAUAUGUAAUUAAGAUGGUUCUAUGAUUAUCUUUUGACUAGUCACAGACUGGUAAUUGUCAAUUUUGGUUUUAUAAGCCCAAGUCAUUUUAUGUUUUCUUUUUCAAAAUUAUUAAAUUGGAAUUUUUUUAAUCCUUUAUAUACAAAAAAAGUUAUAACCCCUCAGUGUGUGUCUUUCUUCCCCUUAGUCAGCUUACCUGGUUCUUCUAUUCUGUUUUACUUUGAUAGAUUCACAAUAUCUUCCUGGAGAAAAAAGAAAGCAAAAUUAGCUAUUAAUAAUUAGUUUCCGUUGCCAAAUGUGAUCUUUCAUUACUAAACGCGAUCUCAUUUGGGUAUUCAAAAACAUUCAAAAGUCAGAGGUCACUUAGUUUUGUAACUAUAGAUGCCAAGAAAGGUUAUCCUUUGCAGGAUGCUUUCCAUCCUGGAGAGAGACUUCCAGUACCAUAGGUUUGGGUUGUCAGGAGAUGGGCCCCAAAUUAACUGUCAGAGCAGGACAAAAAGGGAUGCUUCUUUUAGCCAUUCCACACUUACUUCCAUAGGUCUUGUGUUGUAUGUAUUGCAAGCCUGGCCAGAACUACUUCAAAGGCCCUUUUGCCUAAACUAUUGUAGAAGCCAGGCCUCCCAUGUUGAAGACAUAUUUAAUCCCCAAAUUCUUCUGUGAUGGGUGUUUUUUCCAGCAGGAGAUGCACUGAUCAGACAAGAUUUUGUUCCUGC
rnacentral:lncRNA from 1 species